AGAGCUAAAAUUCCCCCAGCCCUCUGCAGGGGAGACUGACAGUGCCCACUGCUGCAUUGCCAUGGCCCUGCAGGUGCCGGUCUCCGGGAGCGUGGAGGAGGAGGAGGAGGAAAAACGCAAGCUCUGGGACUCGUUGCGCAAGAAGUACCAGCAGAAGACGAGGGCGAAAGUGGCACCCCGGAAGGCUUGGAAUGCAAAGCAAGAGCAAUGGGAGGUCCAGGUACUGCCGCAGGGAAAAACAAUUAGGAAAAGAGCAUUCCUGUCCUCCAGGGAGCCAAGGUCCCUAAGGCAUAGGAGCGUGGGGGCUGACUGUCCUCUGGGGACUGCACCAGCUCGAGGCACCUUCCCAUUGCCCAGCGACAGCGCCGCUGCUCACCUCUCUCUGUUCAGGGUCCUGCAUUCGUGGCAUUCCCACGUGCUGGCAAGACACCAGGAGAGGAUGAGGAGAGCCCAGAGCACAGUCUGAGUCUUUGCCCUUCGCAGUACUCAUAUGUGCAAAGCUCUGGGGAGCAGAUCCAGUGCACAACGGCGGGAUCCAGGAAAGCCUCUGAGGCACAGAGGCUCCCAGGAUUGAAGUCCAGCAAAAGCCUCCUCCAGGAUCACAAGCAGCAGCAGUGCCGGCCAGCCAGGCUGUUAGCAGCAAUGCUUCCAUCUGAUCAGUAAAGACCUCUAUGCAAA